GAUUAACGCUAGCGGCAGGCCUAAUACAUGCAAGUCGAACGGCAGCGGGUCCAGCAAUGGAUGCCGGCGAGUGGCGCACGGGUGCGUAACGCGUAUGCAACCUACCUUUAACUGGAGGAUAGCCCCGAGAAAUCGGGAUUAAUACUCCAUUAAAUUAUGAAGUGGCAUCUCUUUAUAAUUAAAGCUCCGGCGGUUUUAGAUGGGCAUGCGUGACAUUAGCUUGUUGGUGAGGUAACGGCUCACCAAGGCGACGAUGUCUAGGGGUUCUGAGAGGAUUUUCCCCCACACUGGUACUGAGACACGGACCAGACUCCUACGGGAGGCAGCAGUAAGGAAUAUUGGGCAAUGGGCGCAAGCCUGACCCAGCCAUGCCGCGUGAAGGAUGACGGCCCUAUGGGUUGUAAACUUCUUUUGUACGGGAAAAACCCCCGGUCGUGAACCGGGGUUGAUGGUACCGUAAGAAUAAGCAUCGGCUAACUCCGUGCCAGCAGCCGCCGUAAAAC
rnacentral:rRNA from 1 species